rnacentral:rRNA from 1 species
UACGUAGGGGGCAAGCGUUGUCCGGAUUUAUUGGGCGUAAAGGGCUCGUAGGCGGCCAACUAAGUCAGACGUGAAAUCCCCAGGCUCAACCUGGGAACUGCGUCUGAUACUGGAUGGCUUGAAUCCGGGAGAGGGAUGCAGAAUUCCAGGUGUAGCGGUGAAAUGCGUAGAUAUCUGGAGGAAUACCGGUGGCGAAGGCGGCAUCCUGGACCGGCAUUGACGCUGAGGAGCGAAAGCCAGGGGAGCAAACGGG